rnacentral:rRNA from 1 species
UUUAACUGUUAUGCCACCUUGAACAUACUGAUCUCAGCUGAUUUUGGAAGCUAAACAGAACCACCCUUGAUCCAUACUUGGAUGGGAGACCACUUGAGAACACCAGGCACUGUAUUGG